GAUUACGGCCAUACCACACUGACAACGCCCGAUCUCGUCUGAUCUCGGAAGCUAAGCAGAGUUGGGCUGGGUCAGUACUUGGAUGGGUGACCGCCUGGGAAUAACCGUUGCUGUAAGCA
rnacentral:rRNA from 1 species